rnacentral:rRNA from 1 species
UGGGGAAUAUUGCACAAUGGGGGAAACCCUGAUGCAGCGACGCCGCGUGAACGAAGAAGGUAUUCGUAUCGUAAAGUUCUGUCCUAUGGGAAGAUAAUGACAGUACCAUAGAAGAAAGCUCCGGCUAAAUGCGUGCCAGCAGCCGCGGUAAUACGUAUGGAGCGAGCGUUGUCCGGAAUUAUUGGGCGUAAAGGGUACGCAGGCGGUUUAAUAAGUCGAAUGUUAAAGAUCGGGGCUCAACCCCGCAAAGCAUUGGAAACUGAUAAACUGGAGUAGUGGAGAGGAAAGUGGAAUUCCUAGUGUAGUGGUGAAAUACGUAGAUAUUAGGAGGAAUACCAGUAGCGAAGGCGACUUUCUGGACACAAACUGACGCUGAGGUACGAAAGCGUGGGGAGCAAACAGG